rnacentral:tRNA from 1 species
AAUAAGAUGCCUGAAAUAAAAGGGUAAUUUUGAUAGAAUUAAACAUGUGAUUUAUCACUCUUAUUA